rnacentral:lncRNA from 1 species
AUGUCUUCUCCUCACUCCCCUCGCUCUCCCGUUUCUCCUAAUUCUCCCCGUUCUCAUUCUCCACGCUCCCCCCGCUCCCCCCACAGCCCAGUAUUAGGGCUAGUCAACGGCCAUCUCUCUCCCCCAGCUUACGGCCAGGGGGAUGGCAGCAGUGGAGCCUUCCCAGAGCUGAAGGACCAUGAGAGUGACCAGCCCCGGCCAGAUAGGGGAGAUGGGGUGGAGACCAGUGACCCAGCCCCAGCACUAACCCCCUCCUCCCUGCCCUCCGCCCCCCGUAGGAACCCCUCCCGCAGGCUGAGCCGUAUCCCUGUCCUGGAACCCUCCAGUCUGCUGGACCUCCUCCCCACUCCUGGCUCUGCCAUGGAGAAGCUGCUUCAGAAGAAAGCCCACCACCACCAGGGAGGAGGCCACCACCCAGCCCCCUCUCCCACAGCCUCUCCCUCUCUCUCCCACCGCGGCUCCAUGAUGGCCUCACUCCCCCGCGGGGAACAGCUGUCCUCCGCCUCGGACCGCUCUGAGACGGCCGAUGAGUCAUUCCUGGGGUCACGCUCCGACCGCCAGGGGGACGAUGCCCCCUCCCUGUCCUCCUCCUCCAGCCCCCUGUCCCGUAAGAGCAGGAUCCCUCGCCCUGUUAACCUUCCUAACCCGGCCACAGAGCAGGAGCGAGCUGCACAGUACCUACCACGCCCACCCCCGGGCAAGCCACCCAGUCGCCCUGCAGUGGAGGGCAGGCUGAGGCGUUACCGAAUUCGAGCGGGCAGCACCAGCGACUCAGACCUCCUGACCUGCCUGGCCCAGCUCAUGCACCAUGGUCAUGGUGGUGGUUCUGUCCGCGGCUCCCCCCACCACGGCCGCUCCUCAGCUCAGCACGGAGGCUCCCGGAUGGGCAUGUGUAGCCUGACCAACUCCCCCCACCACCAUCACCACCGGAGCUCCAGCGCAUCUCCACGCAGCUCCUCCUCUCUACAGCGCUCUGUCUCCUCCUCCCCCUCCCGCCACGAACACCGCGGGGGAGAGAGAGGAGGAGGGGUUUGUUUCGGUCGGUCCCGAUCCCCUCCUAGCUUCUCCGGGUCCCCCCCUCCUCCCCGGCGCUCCUACCCUCACCACCAGGAGACUUGCUGCAGUCGCCAGGCCCGCACCGGCCCCUUCCACCAGCACGCCCCCAGGGGGAAAGUCUGCAGCCGCGAGGAAAGAGAGAGGAAGUGCUCCAGCAAGCUGAGCAGCAGAUAG